rnacentral:rRNA from 1 species
UACGAAGGGGGCUAGCGUUGCUCGGAAUCACUGGGCGUAAAGCGCACGUAGGCGGGUCGUUAAGUCGGGGGUGAAAUCCUGGAGCUCAACUCCAGAACUGCCUUCGAUACUGGCGAUCUUGAGUCUGGGAGAGGUGAGUGGAACUCCGAGUGUAGAGGUGAAAUUCGUAGAUACUCGGAAGAACACCAGUGGCGAAGGCGGCUCACUGGCCCGGUACUGACGCUGAGGUGCGAAAGCGUGGGGAGCAAACAGG